rnacentral:rRNA from 1 species
UACGUAGGCAGCGAGCGUUGUUCGGAGUUACUGGGCGUAAAGGGUGUGUAGGCGGUUGUUUAGGUUUGGUGUGAAAUCUCCCGGCUCAACUGGGAGGGUGCGCCGAAUACUGAAUGACUAGAGUGCGGGAGAGGAAAGUGGAAUUCCUGGUGUAGCGGUGAAAUGCGUAGAUAUCAGGAGGAACACCGGUGGUGUAGACGGCUUUCUGGACCGUAACUGACGCUGAGACACGAAAGCGUGGGUAGCAAACAGG